rnacentral:misc_RNA from 1 species
GAUGAAGAACGUAGCGAAAUGCGAUAAGUAAUGUGAAUUGCAGAAUUCAGUGAAUCAUCGAAUCUUUGAACGCACAUUGCGCCCAUUAGUAUUCUAGUGGGCAUGUCUGUUCGAGCGUCAUUAAGUCCACUUGAGCCCUGCUUAGUGUUGGGAGACUGCUCCAGCGGUGCUACCCUGUAGCUACCCUGCAGCUCCUCAAAGACAGCGGCGGAGUUGUGGUAUCCUCUGAGCUUAGUAACUUGUUCUAGCUUUCGAGUACACCACUUCCCCUGCCGUAAAACCCUUAAUUUUUAAUGGUUGACCUCGGAUCAGGUAGGAAUACCCGCUGAACUUAAGCAUAUCAAUAAGCGGAGGA